rnacentral:rRNA from 1 species
AUGUGGACCCGUCUUCGUCAACGUUAUGAGCCCUCUGGUGAUGCCUUAUACCUUUCUGUGGUCCGUCAGGAGCAUGCUCUUCAGCAGGGUGACUCUACUGUUGAUGACUUCUAUGCACAGAGUUCUGCUAUCUGGCGCCAGCUUGAUUCUCUCCGCAGUGCUGGUUGUCGUACUUGCCCCUGUUGCCGGGCUGUCCAGGCCAAUUUGGAGUUUCAUCGCGUCUACGAGUUCCUGUCUCGGCUUCGUAAGGAGUUUGAGCCCGGGCGUGCUCAGUUGUUUGCUCGUGGCCGUAUUUCUCUCAUGGAGGCGCUUUCUGAGAUUCGUGCUGAGGAGACUCGCUUACGUGGUGCUGGUUUGCUGGAGGUUCCCUCUGUGCUCGCUACUCGGGCUCCUUCUACGCCACCUGCUGCACCGACCCCUUCUCGCUCGAGUGCUCCGCCGCUCUUGCCCACUCCUUCUGGAGGCUCAGGUCGCCCUCGUCCACACUGUGACUACUGCAACAAUGAUGGUCAUAUUGAGUACCAGUGCUACACGAAGAGGAAACACCUGCGCAAGGCGCGAUCAUCAUCUUCAGGGACUUCGUCA